AAGCCAGUCCCAAAGACCACCUGAGGCCAAUUUCCAGACCUCUUGACAGGAGAUCCGCUUCCCUUCCCGGACAUACCUGCAGGCUGGGCCCACGGGCCUUCCCCUCGGCUUGGGACACUCUCCCCCAACGGCUUCUCCAAGGAGAUAUUCGGAAGGAAAGGGGAGGACCGCUCCCCUUUCCUCUGGCAUCUGAAACUCCUCUUCAGCGAGUCCAGCCUUUUGGCUGACGGCCCGCGGCUUUUUCGCUUGCCUGUCUCCUAGGAGUGCUUUCUUUCUCCUGCGCUUUACACCAGGAGAGCUUCCUUUGGAACUCUCCACCCCUUGAUCCUCCUGGGCUCCAGCCUCGGGUGCCCUCCUUUGGCAAGAGGCUUCCCUUUUCUUGGCAGGAGGACUGCGCGGCUCCUUCUCUGCUUCGCGGGAGGCCCCUCUCAUCAGCCUCGUUGCUGUUCCUUCCAGAAGACGCUUCUCCCUUGGCGGAGCGGCAUCCUUUGUGCAAACCUGCCCUUGGAACUCUCCACCCCUUGAUCCUCCUGGGCUCCAGCCUCGGGUGCCCUCCUUUGGCAAGAGGCUUCCCUUUUCUUGGCAGGAGGACUGCGCGGCUCCUUCUCUGCUUCGCGGGAGGCCCCUCUCAUCAGCCUCGUUGCUGUUCCUUCCAGAAGACGCUUCUCCCUUGGCGGAGCGGCAUCCUUUGUGCAAACCUGCCCUUCAGAAGUACGGACGGUCGGUGCAGGAAAGCUCAGCUUGGGUUCCCGAGAGUGCUGAAGUGGCCUGUUUUUGUGCGGUCCGGCCCUCCUGCCCGUAAGGGGCCAACGGUUGCCUCCAACACUUUGGCCCGGGGGAGGCCCCACCAGCCUGACUCCUUGACGGUCCCCUCCGGGAGAAUCAAAAUGCCUCUCUCCGGUGCAAGGGAAAGGGCCCGCUUCUUCCAGAGAAAUGACUUCCGGAGAUCCUUGGGGUGGGUCUGAACUACCUGGAGGGGCACAUGUCCUAUCAGCCCCUGCCCAGUGGAGAAUCAAACUCCCAACAUCUGACUAACGUCCUAUUAAUG
rnacentral:lncRNA from 1 species